CCUUCCCCUCCCCGGGACAGGCCGAGGGGGCGGGGAACAGGCACCGGCUUUACGGUAGAGGUGGACAUAGGGGAAGGGGCAGGACCCACAGCUGAUGGAGUCCCUGCCCGGGACUACAUCAGUGGGUUCAUGCUCCGGACAAGAAGCCCCAGCGGGUAAUGCAUUAGGGUAUAUGCCCCAGUCUCAGUCUGGUGCCGGGUAAGGGGCCGCGAAGACUGCACCCGCCGCCACGUGGCCAGGAGGAGAAAUGCAAACAAGGAAACUAGGGAAGGGGGAGGGAGUGAGUCAUGGCGGCCCCACCCGAGAGGGAAAUCCGGGCUGGGGCUGCUUCCUGACCAGGGGCGUCCGGCCUCCCGUUUGGGUUCAGGGUCUCCAGCAACCCGGAGUUGUAACUGGGCAGUCUUCCCAUGGGGAAUCCCGCUGCCUGGCUUCCCACCUUUGCCCUCCCAAUCGCGAGGAUUGGGAAGUUAAGGCUGGAGGGCCAGGGACCGCAUUCCAGAUGGAGAGGAACGAGUGGAUGCAUAGAUCGUUCCAGGGCUUGGAUUUGUGGCAAUUCCGAAGACAGGCUGGACUUUAGAGGGCCACACCUCUCAAGUGCCGCCCCCCCCCCCAGCCCCUGGCCUGCUCCCCUAUGUCGGGCUAGGUAAAGGCAGAGGCCCCACACCUCCCUGUGCCUCUUUCCACCGCCACACAGAUGCUGGCACUUCAUCUCACUCACGCCUGCUUCUGAGUGGACAGAGACUAACCUGGGACGAUUUCCGCGGCGCCCGGCGUGAAAUAGAAAAUCCGUACAUUGAACCAGCGUUCCAGCUCAUCCAUAGUGCUCACCCUUUGAGACACACUAAAGAAGACUUCACUGCUCCUCCUGAGCAAAGAAGGGAACCUGGGAAAAGGAGUCCCGCCCACAACUCAAGUUCCUAAACCUUGGAGAAUGGCUUGGAAUCUUGACCUAAAAGACAGGAAAUGGAUAGUCUCGGGUGUGUUUGGAGAAAAGAGUUGGGGGUGCAGUGGUGGCACUUGGAAUGCCAGAUCUGGCCUAGAAGGUCUUGCAAAAGUUCCCUGAAACUGGCUGUGGAGUAGGACAUUCCCUGUUUCCCAUUCCUGUUGCCCCACUUAGGGCAGGAGGGAAAGAUGCUGAGAGAUGAGGUAGGACACCUGCUUGAUCAAACCAUGUGCCUGGUCCUGUUUCCUGUCCAGUGGCAAUCCUAUCUAGGUUGUCUGACUCCACUUCACCCCCAGGAUGUCCUGCAUAUGCUCUCUCAGACCCUAUCGUCAUUCUCUAGCCUGUGAUGCCCGGAGAGGUACUAAGAUACAAGAAGGGACAGUGUGUGUGUGUGUGUGUGUGUGUGUGUAUGUGUGUGUCAGGGCCAGGCAGGGCACGACAAUUCAUAAUCAUUUUCCAUCUGACAUGAUUUAGAAGCACCUAAGAGACAAACCCCUGGGCACCUUUGAAGGUGUUUUCAGAGAUAAGACCCACCUUGAAUGAGGGCAUCAAGGUCCCCACAGAACAGGGUCCCUCGGAGAACAAAAAGGCCAAGUGACCUGGGUGCCACAUUCACCCUUCCUGACUGCCAGUACAGUGUGACCAGCUAAUACUUCUGUCACCAUGCCUCCUCUUUGAUGGCCUGGACCUUCCAACUGCGACUAAAACCCUUUCUUUUGUAGCUUUUAUUUGUCAUGGCAGUGAGAAAAGUAGUUAACACACAGAAAGCACCUGAAGAAAGCCAUUCAGAUGGCAACAGUGACUGUCCCAAACUUAUUGGCCCCAUCUUUCCCUCAUUCUUUCUGUCCUAGGAGGCUACGAUGCUGUUUUUAUGCUUACCUAGUCACUGAUGACCCGAGCCACGAAAGGAUUAGAUGUCCCUUCUGAGCAGGAGUCAGAUUUCCUGCCACCUGCCAGUGCAGUGAGUUCUCUUGGGAUUGACAGAUGGGACCUGGCCAGUGUAAUUACUGCUCAUUCGAUGUUCCAUUGAGGCUGAGGCCUGGAGGGUCAGGGGACAGGGAAGGAUGUCUGAAGAAGACAUCCAGGCCAGAUGGGUUAUCUUGGAGGUGAUCAUGCCGUGUCCUGUUGCAGCAUCUUCCCUCCCCAACUGUCAUUACAUGCCUGGUAGGUGUCUUCGACAGAGAAAUAAUAAUUGUAGUUAGACUGCACUAGCCCUGUUCUUAAUACUUCAUAUACAUUCAUUCAAUUGUCACACCAACCCUGUGAAAUGGCAUUAUCAUUAUACCAUUUUUCAGAUGAGGAAACAGGCUCCAAGAUGUUAAAUAAUGUGGUCAAGUUCUUCUAAUUGGAGAGUACCAGAGUACUGAGUGGUCUACCCAAAAGGUCACUGGAUCAGUACAGUCCUACUUUAGAAAUAUUGGGAAAGCUCCUACAAAGAUAAAAAGCCCACAUCAGGAGCCAUCUCCCCAGCCCUGGGCAUUCUGGCUCUGGUGGUCAGAGAGGACCAGAUAGGUGAUAUGAGAGGCACAUCAAAAUCCACUUGAUACAGACUGUCCCUUCAGUGAGCUUCUGCCAGAAUACAACUCCCCUAGGGCCCUCUCUGUCUCUCAGGUUAAGGGUGGCCUUCCUGGGGACUAGGCAUAGAGGUAGGAUAGCUGGAGAGAGGGGACUCUGAGAACCAGGCUUUGACUCUGGACAGUGUCUCUUCCAGCUAGGCCCCUUGGCUAACUUUGCACACACUGAGCCCACAGCUUCCUGGAUUUCAGCUGGAGCCUUAAAACUCCACGUGUCCAACACUCCCUUCCUGCCUCAGGGGCUCCUCCUCCUGCUUUGCCUCUCAGCUCCUGGAGUCCUGCCACUGUCUAAGCAAGAAACCUGUAAGGUGGCUCCCUUCUACAGCCAAUCAGGCACCUAAGUGGCUGGUUCAACCACUGUAGCUGCUACAGUCAGGGGUGGUCUUGUAGCAGUUACUCAUCUUAGUGUUAGCUCUCUUGUAAAUACCACUUUCUUCUCCUUACAGCUUUUAGCUGCAAGUGAGGGAACCAGAGCACAGAGAGGUGAAGUAAUCUGUCCAAGCUCACACUGAUGGCAAAUCAUAGAGCCAUACUUGGGCAUGUAAUGACAGUCCAUGUUCCUAUCUAUUACUUCAGCCACCUCUCCCAUCCCUGAUCGCUACCUCUGCCUCGCCUCUGUUCAUCCUUUCAGUGUAGUCUCUCAGCAUCAUUAAUAAAAAUCUUGAAUUCAUUUGA